rnacentral:rRNA from 1 species
CCUACGGGGGGCAGCAGUGAGGAAUAUUGGUCAAUGGACGAGAGUCUGAACCAGCCAAGUAGCGUGAGCGAUGAAGGCCUUCGGGUCGUAAAGCUCUGUCCUCAAGGAAGAUAAUGACGGUACUUGAGGAGGAAGCCCCGGCUAACUACGUGCCAGCAGCCGCGGUAAUACGUAGGGGGCUAGCGUUAUCCGGAAUUACUGGGUUUAAAGGGUGCGUAGGCGGGCUGUUAAGUCAGCGGUAAAAGCCCGGGGCUCAACCCCGGCGAGCCGUUGAAACUGGCUGUCUUGAGAUGUCGAGAGGUAUGCGGAAUGCGCAGUGUAGCGGUGAAAUGCUUAGAUAUUGCGCAGAACUCCGAUUGCGAAGGCAGCAUACCGGCGGCGAUCUGACGCUGAGGCACGAAAGCGUGGGUAUCGAACAGGAUUAGAUACCCCAGUAGUC